ACAUAAUUAUAUUCCUAUUGUCAUGUUGGGUCGAGCAGUUAGACCAUGUAGUGUUUUCUCAUUGCACAAUGUUUGCAAAUCAAUAAGGAGAAAGCCUGAACAAUGCGAUGACGUUGGCCAGGAACCCGGCCCGAGUCACCCAGGAGGCGGCUCUGCAGUUUCUCAGGAGGACACAUUUGGACCUGACCUUCACCACUGGUCAUGUGAGAAAGCCUCUAUACCUGGUUCCUCAACGUCUCCGUUUAGAAGACUGCAUCAGCAAAACCAUCCUACCAUGGGAAUUAACUGAUGGAUGUGUCUGGACUUCCCAGGGGGUUCUCCAUGGACAGUAUUGUGCUGUUAAAGACGAGGAGACGGAGACCUAGAGGAAGUCAUUUGUACAAGGCCAUAUGGCUUGCUCCUGAUAGAUCUGGAAUUUGGACUCAGGCAGCCUGGUUCUGGAGCUGAAUUCUGAACUACCUAUAUCAUCCCACCUCAGUCCAGUGAGAGAACGUGUCACCUGAGUGCUCAAGAUACAUCAAGAGCCCGACCAUGUCCUGGAGCCUCUUAAGAGCGAAGCUCAGGGUGCAGGACCUGAGAGGGUGUUAAUCAGCCGCUUCCAUUUUUUUCUUAAUAUGGGAAGACCAGAUUUUGCUUGGCUUCUGGAAACCGCUGCCAUCUUGCUUUUCCUCCUACUUCAGCUCUUGGUCUCCUGUGCAGCUGGCUUUUCCUUCUUCCUGACUUUUCAAGCCCAUCCUUGGACCUCUUAUCUUCUCCAUCAAAAUUCUCUCCCUGGAUGAUUUCACUGAGGCCGAUGGCUUAAAUCCCUUAGAAAUACUGAUAGCUCCAAAUCCCUAUCUUUAGCCUGGCCUCCUGCCCUAGAAUUCACUUGUCUAAGUGCCUAGUGGAUUUCUCCACUUAGAUGUCUCAUAAGCAUUUCAAACCUGCCCAAAACGAAACUUGAUUACCAUCCCCAAACCACUCUUCCCUAAGAAAAUGGUGUCCCCGUUCCACCAGUUGCUCAGGCAAAAACCCUAGCAAUCAGCCUCACUUGCUUUCAUUCUCUCUCAUCUCCCACAUCAAACCCAUUAGCAAAUUCUGUUGGUUCUUUUUUGAAAUGUACUCGGAGGCUACUUCUCACCACAUGCUCUGCUAUGGUUCUAGCCCAAGCCACUGUCAGUCUCUCCCAGAGACACAAGCUGUACCUUCCUAACUCGCACCCCUGUGUGCAUCCCUGUGUGCAUCCCUGCUCACCCAAAGCCAACCCUUUGCAUAUAACCAGAGUGAUUUUUUUGAAAUGUAAAUAAGAACCGGUCACCACCCUAUUCAAAUCCUCCAGGGGCUUCUCAUUUCUCUUAGAACAAAACCCAGACUCCUGACUACAGCCCCAAAGCCCUACAUGAUCCUGCCCCAUUUACAGCUCCAGGCUCAUUACCUACCUCGUGCUCCCAGCCCACGGAUCAUCGCCUACCACAUGCUCCCAGCCCCCGGAUCUCCAGCACAUCAGCCUCUUGGCUCUUCUUAGAACUCCCUGAAUUCACUCCUGUCUCAAGGACUUUCCUGUGCUUUUCCUUAGACAGGAGACACCCCUCCCAGUUCACAUGGCUCACUCGCUUCAUCCAGGUCUCUUCUCCAGUGUCCCCUCCUUGUGACCCCUGGAUCUAAAGGAGUUGAACCACCCCACUCCUACCCUUAUAUUCUCAUAGCUCCUCACGCUGCCUCACUUUUAGCAAGAUUUCAUUAAAAUUUUAUUGCUGUCUAAAAUUCUAUUAUAUAUUUAACCAUUUACUUGUUUAGUAUCUGUGUCUUCCAUUAGCAAGUAAGUUCUGGCCAGGCGUGGUGGCUCACACCUGUAAUCCCAGCACUUUGGGAGGCUGAGGCAGGCAGAUCACCUGAGGUCAGGAGUUUGAGACCAGCCUGGUCAACGUGGUGAAACCCUGUCUCUACUAAAAAUACAAAAAUUUGCCGGGUGUGGUGGCAUGCACCUGUAAUCUCAGCUACUCGGGAGGCUGAGGCAGGAGAAUCGCUUGAACCUGGGAGGUGGAGGCUGCAGUGAGCCAAAAGAAAGAAAGAAAGUAAGUUCCAUGAAAAAAAAAAAAA
rnacentral:lncRNA from 1 species